CUUCAUUACGUUCGGUUGUUUAAUAGUUUUGUUGUGGUUUUGUGAAAUUAUAAAUAAAUUUUUAAAAUUGUAAAAUAUAAUAAAAAAUAAAACUAUUAACAAAUUUAUUUUAAAACUUAAAUCAAUACAUUUUUAAAUUUGAAUUUUUUAUUUGUUAGUUUUUCUUCUGUUUUUUUCAAUAAAAAUCAGAAAUUUAAAGUUCUUUCCAAAAAAAAAAAAAAGCAAAAAAAUUUGAUUUGUCUUUUAACAUACAAAUAAAAAAAAUGGCAGCAAGAGGUAAAAAAUCUUCAAGUUUGGCACGUGAUUCUUGGAAUGAAAGUGGCGGGACUACAACAGAAGGACGUCGUCCAAAAAGUCCACUAAGUCCAACACGACAUUCACGUUUAGCUGAAAAAGCUGAAUUGCAAAGUUUAAAUGAUCGUUUAGCUUGCUAUAUUGAUCGUGUUAGAAAUUUAGAAACUGAGAAUGCACGUCUUAUUAUUGAAAUUCAAUCAAUUAAAGAAAAUGUUACACGUGAAACAUCAAAUGUAAAGUCAAUGUACGAGCAUGAAUUAUCAGAUGCACGAAAAUUAUUAGAUGAAACAGCUAAAGAGAAAGCUAGAUUGGAGAUUGAUACAAAAAGAUUAUGGGAAGAAAAUGAUGAAUUAAAAGCAAGAUGCGAUAAAUUAAAAAAAGAUUUAAACAUUGCUGAGAAUUCCGCUCGUAUGUGGGAGACUCGAUUUACCGAUUUGCAAGGUAAAUAUAAUCAAGCAAAUGCAGAUCGGAAGAAAGCAAAAGAUGAUGCAAAUGAUUUAGAACUGGAAAAUGAAAGAUUGCGUAAACAACUGGAUGAAUUAAGAAGACAUUUGGGUGCUGAAACUUUGUCUCGGGUUGAACUUGAAAAUACAAUUCAAAGUUUGCGUGAAGAACUUACAUUCAAAGAUCAAGUUCAUUCACAAGAAUUAAAUGAGACACGUUCAAGGCGUCAGGUAGAAAUCAGUGAGAUUGAUGGACGUCUUUAUGAGGAAUAUGAAGCAAAAUUACAAAAAUCACUUCAAGAAUUACGUGAUCAAUAUGAAGCUCAAAUUCGUUCAAAUCGUGAAGAAAUCGAAAUGCUCUACGAUAAUAAAUGUAAAAAUCUUCAAAAUGCAGCUAAACGUCAUACAAAUGCUGCUAAUACAGCUGUAGAAGAAUUACGUACAACUCAUGCCCGUAUAGAAUCUUUAAAUUCAAGAAUAAGCGAAUUAGAGGGUCUUACUGCACAAUUGCAAGCACGUAAUCGUGAUUUAGAACAAUUAUUAGAUGCAAAUCGUGCUCGUCAUGCCGAAGCAAUUGCUGCAUUAGAAGCUGAACUAAAUCGUUUGCGUGAAGAAAUGGCACAACAAUUACAAGAAUAUCAAGAUUUAAUGGAUAUUAAAGUAUCAUUAGAUAUGGAAAUUGCUGCCUAUGAUAAAUUAUUAAAAGGUGAAGAGCAUCGAUUAAAUUUAUCACCAUUACAAAGUAAUGUUGCAAGCCAUUCAAGUGCAACCGCAUCUGGAAGACGAGCAUCACGAAGUACACCAGUACGUCGUACACCAUCACGUCAACAGGGUGCAUCAUUAUCAUCAUUAACACAAAAUACAGGUUCUAUAGUAUUAGGUGGACCUGGUAUCAAAAGAAAACGUGUGACAGAAGAAUUAGAGGAUCGUUCAUCAUCUGAAUUUUAUGUCACACAAUCAGCUAAAGGUGACGUGGAAAUAUUUGAAGCAGACGCUGAUGGUAGAUUUGUUAAAUUGCAUAACAAAUCAAAUAAAGAAAUUAAUAUUGGUGGGUGGCAAAUUCUUCGUACCGUUGGUGACAAUGAGACAUCAUUUAAACUACAUCGUUCAGUUAAAAUUGACGGUGAUGGAUAUGUUACAGUUUGGUCCAUGGAUAGUGGUAUAACACAUGAGCCACCAACAAAUAUUGUAAUGAAAGCACAAAAAUGGUUUGUUGGCGACAACAUGAAAACAGUUUUAUUGAGUCCAGAAGGGGAAGAACUUGCGGCAUCUGAACGUAUCAGACAAGUUGUUUCAACUAGAGUGGCUAGACAUCGUACAUUGGGUGGUGAAGAUUUAUAUCAUUCUGAGGUACGGGGUGCAAGUGCCGCUGGUUCAGCCUCUGGGCGCUUCUGGCUAUGGUGAAGCAGAAAUUAAUUAAAAAAAAAAUAUUAAAAACACAAAAAAAAAAUUGACACAAAUCAAAUAUUUUGCUAUUAUUUUUUUUUAUUUUUUUUUGUUUUUGUUAAAAAAAAAUUAUUUAAAAUACAUACUUAAAAUAAAUACUAAUUUAAGGAAUUCAAAAGUCGUUUAAAUAAUUAAGAAAAUAACAAAAAAAAAACUAAAUAAAAUAAAUUUAAAUAAAAAUAAUUAAAAAAACUAAGAAGAAGACUAUGAACAAAGGUAAAAACUAUUCGCAAUAAUGAAAACUAUUCGCAAUAAUAAAAACAACAACAACGAAAAUAAGCUCAUAAAUUCAAAAAAAAAUUUAAAAACAAACUUUUUUCUCUUUCAUUUUCAUGAUAAAUGGUAUUUAUUUACUGUAAAAAAUUCACAAAGUGCAAUUAAUUAUUUUCAAAGAUUAAAAUUUAAAUGAAAAAAUAUAAAAUAUAAAAAUAAAUAAUUAAAAACAAAAGACCAAAACCAACACAAUAUAAUUAAUAAUAUGAAAAAAUUAUAAAAAAAAAUAUCUAAGGCAAAAUUAUUUAAUAGAAAAUAUACAAAAUGUAAAAAGAAAAAAAAAAUAGAUACUAAAAAUUCACAUCUCUCCAAUAUUUUCUUUUCCAUCAAUCAUUCAUCAAUCCGUUUUCUUUGCCCGGAAAAGGAAAAAAAAUAUUGUAGAAAUUAAAAAAAAAAAAUUUACUUAAAUUCUCUCGCCUUUCGCCGGUGUGUACCUUAAGUGAAAAAUAUAAAUAUUAUAAGUAUAUAAAAUACCAUGCACAUUUAACAUUAAUACAUAUCAAAAAAGAAUUAUGACAAAGUGAAAAAAAAAUUUUUUGUUUAAAUUCUGAAAAUAAAAAUUUGCCAAAAACCAAACUAAUAGUCAACCAACAAAGUCCUCCAAUUUCACCACAUAAUUAAAUAACAAAAUUGAAAAUAAAUCAUAAAUCGUCGGUGUUCCCAGUCCGCUUCUCAACCCCCCUCCCCCUGCCACAGCAAAUAUUCAUAUGGCGAAUACUUAUUUAGUUUUGAUGAACCGUAUCCAAACACAACCAUGAAAUUAAAAUUAUGAUUCGUACAAAAAAAAAAAUUGGAUUUUGCCAACACUAAAAACAAAAAUUCUGAAAAGCAUGAGCCAUCGGAGCAAUGUAGUAUUUGCUAAAACACAAAAAACAAAAAUUGAAACUUUUAUUUAUUAACUAUAUAUAAAAUUAAGGAUAGAUGAUAACAAUUUAAAACUUGGUAAAAAUAAAUAAAAAAACAAAUAAAAAAACGUAAUUAAUUCCUGACUUUAGAGUAUUACAGAAAUAAAACAUUAAUACAUAAUGCAACAAUGCAUGUGUAUUAAAAGAACAGUAGAUAUUGCUGCAAUUUUAAAGUCAGGAAAUCGUAGUUUCUGUAAUUUUCAGUUUAAUUUUGUUUUUGAUAUUUUUUAAUAAUUUUAAUAAUUAUUAAAUGAAGAAUAUUAAUUUAAUUAAAAUAAUUAUAAUCAUAUUAUUAGAAUUAUUAUUUUUUUUAUUAUUGUUAGAAUUUAAGAAAAGGAUCACAAAUUUGGAAAUUAUUAAAAUCUUUUUUUGUUUUUUUUUUAAUAUUCUCUGUCCAUGUACAUGAACUAAUGAUAACAUUAUAAAUUCAAAAAGUUCAAAAAUAAAUAAAACAAAAAAAAAUAAUUAUUUUCCAAUCUUAUAUCACAUAUAUAAUUAAUAUUUACAUUCACAUGUAUGACUUUAACAUUGCGGUAAUAAAUACCUAAAUUCUGCAAUUAUAACACAAACAUCAGUUUAACUCCUCUUACCGACUACAUUGCAUACAUUAAAGGAGAUUAUGUGAUGGCAACAAAUUUUGCAUAUAAAGUUUUCGGUGGAAACGCACUUCCCCAUAGUAGAGAAGCGUAAAUAAACUACUUUUGAGAGGUGUCGGUCUGUCUGUCUGUGUUUGAAUGCGUGUAUAUCAAGUUUGACUGAACCGAUUUUCAUGUGGGUUUGUUUUGGCUAUGUCACGAAUUGAUCAACUUGUGGGAUAUAUCCGGCGUUUGGAACUGGAUGCUGUCAGGCUUUGGAACUGGAAAUACAUAACCGAUUUCCUUGAAUUUUAAUGUUUAAAUUUGGAGUUUUAAGACAGUGAACAUAUAAAUUUUUAAAAACGAUCCCGGCUCGUUAACAAAACUGGGUGUCGAUUUUACAUUUUUUACCGUAUCUGAUGGCACAAAGCGAAAUUCUACUAAGAGCCAAUUUAACAUAUUUCUAGGUAUGUUAACUAAAAGCUUACUAACGACCUAAAAAUUGGAAAGAAAAAGGUAUUUUUAUAAUCUUCUGUUACAUUUUCACUUAACUAGACAAUACACAUUGCGGUCGAUUAUGUGCUGAUCACGUCAGAUUGUUUAGGUAUUAACACCAAGUAUUACUGCAAUUUUAAAGCCAUAGAGGGCAUUUCUGAAAAUGCACUUCUAUAGUUUAGAACUGCAAAUCUUUCAAAAAUUCAUGAACAAAUUAAAUGUGCAGCUUUGAAAGCUCUGCAUUUCUACAUUUAAGAACUGCAUUUUCAAAUAUACCCAGAGAUAAAGGUUCAUCUGAAAACGCAAGCUCUAACUUAAUCGUAUUAGAAAUUUUAGAUCAUAUAUGUUUUAAUAAGAAUGUAAAGCCUAUAGUGCUUUUUAAGAAUGCAGAACUCCGCAAUAGUAAUUUUUGUUUUUUGAAAAAUAUACAACAGCAAGUUAAAACCUUUCAGAAAUUCUACACAAUAUCGCUAUUUUUCAAAUGCUAACUACUGCGAUAGCAAAAUUAUUAUGAAGAAGAUGGGAGAAGUUUUAAUGUUAAAAUGCGUACACUAGACAUGCUGCAUUUUCAGAAGAACCUAUAUAUAUAUACAUAAGGAGUUUUUGAAAAUACAGUUCGCGUGUUUUUGAUAAUGCAGUUCUUAAGGUGGGAACUACAAAGCUUUUAAAACUCCAUGUACAAAUUAAAUGUAGAGUUUUUAAAGCUUUGCAGUUCUAACCUUAAGAACUGCAUUUUCAAAAACAUACCUUCUAAAGGUUAGAACUGCAAAACUUUUAAAACUCCAUGUACAAAUUAAAUGUAGAGUUUUUAAAACUUUACAGAUCUAACUUUAAAAACUGCAUUUUCAAAAACAUCCAUGGCCUAAAUUAAUUGGAUUGUUUUUUUAAGAUUUUAAAACAAAACAAUGGAAACAAAAAUUAAAAAAAAAAAAUUAAUUUUUAUGAUUCUUGACCUUAAAAUUAUACUAAUAUUUUAUAUUUUUAUAUACACAAUUCAGGUUACAGAGUUUGUAUAGUUGCUGAAUUGUGUUUACAAAAAUACAAGUAAUAUGGGAAUUUUUAAGAAUCAUUUUUUUAAUUUUUAAAAAUUUUAAAAAUUAUAAAUUAAAACAAAUUUAUUGUAAUUUUUUUUUUUCAUAAACAAAAAAAGACGAAUUGUGAAUAAUUGUAUCAUAAUGCUGCGUUAAUAGUACGGGAUGAUUUCCAUCUUAUAGACAAAAAACAGUUUUUAAACUGCCUUUAAAAUUGAGCUUCCCUGGUUUUCAAAACGAAGUAAAAGCGCAGUCGAAACGUAAAACAAAAGCAAAACGCCUAGCGAAAAAAUUAAAACCGCUUUUGGUACACAUGCCAUAAAAAGACUUGCCAGAAUUAAUAAUUUCCAAAUUAUUACAUUUUUUCCAGAAAAAUAUAUUCGGUUAAGCAUAUGUUGAGAUCAGUAAUUUAUUUUAAAAUAAUUCUUAAAACAACAAAGAAAUACAAGGAAACACAAAGGCAAGAACAACAGAUUACUUAGUCUUUCAGAAAAUCUUUUAGUAGUUUUUUUAUUAUAAAUAAUUAUUUACACGGUUUUAUUUAUUUAAUAUACAAAACUAAUAUUUUUUACAAAUAUUUAUUACAAGCAAAUUUAAAAACAAUGUAUAAUAUGUACAUUAUGUUGUGUAAUGUUUUUUUAACGUCACAUUGAUAUUCCAAAAUCUAGCGAAAAUUUAUAUACAUUGCAACGGUUUUAAAGGCUUUUCGUUGUUGUAAAAUUGUAUUUAGACUGCUUUUUAUACUGCGUUUGGUAGUAACGGCUUUAAACUUUUUUGUUUGAUUGCCAAAAUAAUGAGCCUUAUUCUAGUUGUCGCGUCACUAAUGUGACAUUUGUCGUUGUCGCUGUCACAUCAUUUGAAAUGUGGUAUUCUGGUUGUCGAGUGACGUGAUUGCGAGAAAUAAUCGCGAAAAAAAAGCGUUUCAAGUGAAAUUGAUACAUUUUAAAAAGAAAUUUCGGCGAGUAAAGUUCAAACAAAAAAAAAUUUUCAGUGUGUAUAUUUAUAUUUUUACAUAAUAAGCAAUGUCAUUUGCAUUAUGGUUUACGAAUUCAUCUCAUUCCGGUAGUGAUGAAAUUAAAAAAUAACAACAAUUAAGGAUCGAAAGAUUUAAGAUUAGCGACAGCUCUAAUCCAUUAGAUUUGCCAAAUUUUUUUUAGUAAAUUAGUUGCAAACAUUUUAUUUUAUUCACAGAUUUAUAAACUAUUACAGACUUCCAAAGCAGGCCUUUGUAUAUUUACUGAAUAUAUUCGAGGGAAAAACGAGUACCCGUAAAAGGCGUUCUCUUUCAUGAAAUUUCCAAUUCUUCAAACUUAUAAAUACUUUCACGCUAAAAACAAAAAUUAAAUUACAUAUUUUAUGACUUGAUUUAUGUAUAAAAUUAAUUUUUUUAUGAUUUUGUUAAAUUGUUUUGUUUUAACUUGCAUUUUUGGUGUAUCCCUCUUUGUUGUCACUUAUAAAUACUUUUCGACAAAAAACGUCGUUUCACUACGACAUAUCUCGCAUCAGAACGACAACUGGAAUAUGGUUGAAACACAUUUUCCCGCUAUUCCCCGACGAUUGUCACUGCGAUCGCCGCUUAGAAUAUCAAUUUCAAGUCGUAACGACAAUUGUCGCUUUACUUCGACAACUAGAAUAAGGCUCAAUGUUUAAAUAUUUAACAGACAGAAAAUUUACAAAAAGCAUCGGGAAGUUUUUCGAGGCGUUGUCUGCUGUUUUCUACGUGUUCAAAACAGUUUCCAAGCAAUUUGAAACUUACUACAUCGUCAAAGCUUUUGAAAUACAAUAUAAAAUAUAAAAUAUUGCAGCGAAAUAUUUUUUUACAAUAUGGAAUCCAGGGAUACUCGUAAUCGUAUGUACUAUUUUAUGUUUAUGCUCUCUCACUUCUCUCAUAUGUUCAACGACCAUUUUUGUAGAAUUCGGCUCAUCUAAUCUUAGAUAAAAUUAUACACAGAUUAGAUGGGUGAUUUGAUUGUAAUUUCGUCUUUGAUAUAGUUUUUUUUUCUGAAAAUGGUUUUUAUGGAAAUUUGUAUAUUUUUUUUGUUAAAAUUGAAAAAUAUGUAUAAGUGUUAGAAUAUGAGAAAACAAAACAUAUAUUAUACGACAAUUUUACUUACAUGUACCAAUAAUCUCUAAUCAGUAAUUAGAAAUGAUAAACUGAAUAAGCUGAUUUUUUUAUGAACAAAUAUAAUAAAAUUGUAAAUUUUGAGAUUAGAGUUCUGUGUAAUCCUUAUAAAAAAAAUUUAUUUUUUUAAUUUAAAAUUUAAUUUGUUUCAAAUAUUUUAUAGGAGGCAGUCAGUCAGUUCAUUGUUCGAAAAUUUAAAUUAAAUUUAACUAUUUUACUUACUUAUAUUACUGAAUUAACGUUUUGAUGGUACUUUCACACAUUUAUAUAACUUUAAUAUGUAUAGAAUUUAAGAAAGUUAAAAAAAAUUACAAAAUGAUUGUAUGUACAAAUAAAUAAACUAUGUAAAAAUAGA